UCUCUUAAUGAGUAAAGUAAGAGCUACAGUUGAAGUGUCAUGGCCAGCAAAGAGCAGCAACAAUAUGUUAUUAACAAUAACAAGUUCAGACAUGAACUUUCCAUUUUCAUCUGGGAAGGAAAGCAAAUGAGACAAAAUAUCUUGUGAAGGUGAAGCUGUCUUUUGUUCUAAGGCUUCUCUUCUUUUUCGGACUAUUUGCAAUAGUUCUUUUCUGACAGUAGCUACAGCUCUAGUUGCUUUGUGAAAAGUUGUACCAGGUAAAUUUACAGGGAUUGCUAUUAAUCCUUUCAAGGAAAUGUUGAAAAGUGUUGAAAGCUUUUCAAUUUCAUUGUGGUCUUCAAUGCUCAUGAAUAGCUGACAUGCCACUUUGAAAGUGUAUAGUUUGAGGAGAUGGUAAACCUUCACCUGCUCUUUACCUUCAUAAAUAUAGAGCACAAAAAGAAAAAGAUUAAAUACAAUAGUAAUUGCUAUAUUGGAUAGGUUGUUACAGGAGUUCUUAUAUUGGUAAUAUCGACUGAUUCCCAACAUUAGACCCUCCUUUAAUUUGGGAAUACUUGAUAUUACAAAAGCUAUUUUUCAUAAAAAAAAAAAUAUAUUCCGAAUGUUUGUUUAAUAGUGAAAGGAAAAAAAAAAUGACCUUUCAUAAAGCUAGGAAAACUGCUUCUUGUGUACCUUUUCCCAAUUCUAAUGUAUUGUCAGAUCUUAUCAUUCUGACAUUCACAUUGAAUUGCCUUUCAACCAUAGACAGAAAAGAUUUAAGCAUAGGAAAAACAUUGCUUUUUGCACUUAAUAAAAAUGUCCAUGUUCCUCUACUAUAAUCAUCUACUAUAGUUAGGAAAUAUCUAAAUCCAUUAUAAGUAUUUGACUUAUAAGGUCCCCAUGUGUCUACAUGUAUAAGUUCAAAUAUAUGCUUGGAUUUUAUGCUACUGACAGGAAAAGGAUUCCUGGUUUGCUUAACCUUAUGACAAACAUCACAGAUAAACUCAGAAUUUGACUUACAAUGAAGGAAAUCUAAAUGUUUCAUUGCUGAAAAUGAAAGUUGUCCCAAUCUUACAUGCCAAAGUUUAACAUCAGGAGUACCAUUAACUUGAACUGGACUAGAAAAAGAAACAGACUUUGAAACGAAAUUUCUUCUUUCGGAAUUGAAGGUACAUUACUACUGAAUAGCCCUUAGACUUAAGGCUACUUGGUUCCAAUAAGUAGAGUCCCUCUCUAACUUCACCAAAAACUUGUGGACUCUUCAUUAAAAGGCCCUGCAACACACACCCAAUAGAUGUGAAUAGGACAUCAUACUUGAACUGAACACAAUACCUAUUAACUGAUAAUAAGUUAUAUUUGAAAUCUGGAACAUGUAACACAUUGUUCAGGAUAUGACCUGGCAGAAUAUAAAUACUCCCUAUAUGAGUAACAAUCACCUUGAAAGAGUUAGGUAAACUGAUAUUCAAAGGUACAGGAAGUAGAGUUAGAAACAUGAAAGAAUUAGGAUCAAAACACAUAUGCUCUGAGGCACCUGGAUCAUUGAUUCAGGUGUCUAAUUUUAUACUAGUAAACACUGAACCUGAGAAUUUUAGAAUAGUACCAGCAACUGUAUUAGCAUUGAUUCCUGUAAUUCCUUCAUGUGCUAACUUUGCCUGCUUAUACAUGUGCAUCAUUUCUUCAAUUUGUUCCUUGUUGGGUUGCUGUCCAAAAUUACUGUUGUUGAGCUCAGUGCUUUGUCCUGCAGAAUUCUCACGUUCCUCAUGUGGUAGGACUGUAUUUUCUUUAAUUUGAGUCUGCUGACCUUUGUGAUUGGUGAACUCAAAAUCUUCUGAAAAUCCAAUAAUUCUAUAACAAUCCUCUUGUGUAUGUCUUGUUUUUCCACAAUAAGUACAAGAUACAUUUGGAUUGUACUUCUUUUUCCCUUUAAACCUUUGCUGAAGUUUAACAAACUUUCGCCCUGAGUUGUUAUAUUUGGGUGAUAUGGCUGCUCCUCUUUGUGUUUGGCUUCUAAGUUUUUGAUAAUUCUUCCCUUAUCAUGUGAUCAUAAAAGUUGCAAAAUUAGCUAGAAGUUGUGCAUUAGGCUGCUUGGCCUCUCCGGCUGCCAUGAAUGAUACUGAUUCAUAUAUAAAAUGUGCAUUUGCAUAAACUUCUCUUUGAUUUUCAUCCUGCAAGAGAAGUGAAUAAGCAACAUUUAUGCUAGGCAAAUGGUUCAUCAUGAAGAUAUUUCCUCUUGCUUGUGCAUAGAUGUCAUUUAAUCCCAUUAGGAAUUGGAUCAAUCUCUGAUCCUCAAGAGACUUAGUCAACUUUGCUUUUCCUUUACAAACACAAACACAUGAACAAUAUAUGAUAAUAUUUAAAGCAUCUAAUUCAUCCCACAAUCGUUUGAGCUUAGUGAAGUAUGCUGCAAUGUCACUGUUUCCGUGUACUAAACCUGAUAACUCCUUCUGCAGAUGAUAAAGCUUGGCUCCAUUUGAUCUCCCAUAUCUCUUCUCCAAGUUGUCCCAAAGUUCUUUUGCAGUUUUGGAGUAUAUCACAUUGUCUGUAAUAUCCUUUGAGAGAGCAUUUAGGACCCCAAGAGAUGACCAUGUCAUUCACACAACUCCAUUGUUCAUGGUCUGGAGAUUUCUCAUCUGGAGAUAGACAUGCUCCAUUGAUGAAACCAAGUUUCUUCUUGGCUAACAAUGACAGGAGAAUAGAUCUCCUCCACCCUGGGUAUCCUCUUCCAUCAAACAUAGUGUUGACUACAGUCAUUCCAGGUGAAUCAGAGUUGUUGAGAUGAUAAGGGUGAUUGACAUCAUAGCUGACUGAUUUUGCAGCAUUGCUCGUAUCACCAGUAUAUGUGAUGGUUGUUUUAGACAUUUUAGGUUACUGAUUAUGAUGAUGAAUCUGAUGUAAAUUGAUUUGAUGGUUGGACUGUUGGAUCGAGCUUAUUGCUCUGAUACCAUGUACGAAAUUGAAAGAAUAAAAUCUGGUUGAAAAACCAUUCUUCCGUGUGUUCUUUACAUUGAGCUUUGUACAUGUAUAUAUUAUACACUUGAUAUAUAUAUUUAUUCCUCCUACACUAACCCACUAACCUAUGUCUCCUUAUAUUAUAAUUAUCUUGCUAACCCCAUUAAUUUAUGUCCCCUAACCCAUUAAUUAUAUUCCCCUAUAUUCUAAACACAUAAUAUGCACGACAUUCUUCUCCCUUCUUCUUCUUCACCAUUCUUCUAUAUCUCUAAGUAAAUCUCCACAGAUUGUUAGAAUUAUGAUAUGGUUUCUGGUUUCUUCUUCCCAACCCAACAGAAGGUAAUACCCGAAACAAAUGUUCAGUUCCAUAUGAGAUACGUAAAAGGUAAAAGAAAGCUUCUGAUGAGUGUGGAUGGAUCUUCAUCUCUAUUCAACAUUUCAACUCUUUCCUUUUCUCUUUAUUUAUCAUUUUGGUAAAACUCAAGUAGUCAUGAUAUGUUCAAGCAAAAGAUAGCUGUAAAUGAUUUGUCACAGUUCAUAGCACGGCUGUAGCUGGCUUAUGAAUCUAUUUGAGAACUUAAUUACAUUUCAGGAUAAUACUUUAUUCAACCGGAAAUGUGGUCCCUUCACUACAAAAAAUAAACCACAAUAAAUUUAACUUUCGACUUUAAGUAAUUCCGCGGAAUGGAUUUAGCCGUCAUUAUAUAUAAUUUUUAUUAUAAUUGCGGCUAAACAAUCGCUACAGCCUUUGAUGUUUAAUGGCAAUAAAAUCUUAAUUUACCGGCACUAAUGCCCUUGGCCAGACAAUUUAUUACGUGGCUAUGGAGGUGACAUUGCGUUCAAAUUAACCUCCUCCACUUUUUUCCGAUGUUAAGGAAAUAUUAUAGUGAAGAAGAUUCACAGAAAUUUGAACAAACAGUCUUUCAAUUAAAGGCCAAUAUAAGUAUUUUGCUUGGAUCCAAAAGAUCUGAUGGAUAUUGGCUCAAUUCACCAGAAUUCUGUCAUUCAAAGGAUUUGAUUGACAAUCAAAUUAGAUGGAAAAACCAGCAAGGUUGGCAAGACAUAUUAACAUCUCAAUGAGUAUUCAAUUUCAAGCUAAGUAAUGUUUUUCUAUAUAUUAAUACGGAAUUGACAAAAGAUUUUCUAAAGAUAGUUGAGUUAUAAACAACGAGGAAGUUAGACUAAUCAAUUGAUUAGGUCUAUUGAUUUUUAAAAUCAAAAUCCUCGAUCCACGAAGAUUCGCGAAGUAAUGUUAUCUUGAAAAAUCAUAUGGAGUUCACACGAAUUAGAUCCUAUUGAGAAAAUCUGUCAAAUAGGCUUGGAUAUAGAUUUCCAGAAGUUUUUGUCAAUUAUCACAUAACACAAAUACAAAAGAGAUUUGAGAUCCAUUACUUCCAGUAGUAGCUUUUAUAAAAUCUACACAACAUAAAUGCAAAAAGGAGGUGUGUGAUUCAUGUGGCUCAAUAAACAAAAUUUAAAAUUUAUGAGUUACUAUACCAAGCUCAAGUUAAUAUACAAUAACAAUUGGUUUCACAAUAAAAUAAUUAUAGAUAUUUAAUAAAUUCUUAAUAAAUAUACAAAGAUAGGGAUAAGGCUAUUGCAUUCACGUGAACCAAUAACUUAUAAGCUAGUUCCUCCCCUAUGCUUUUUAUGUAUCUCCAUCAAAAGUAAAGGUUCAAUCUCAAGGCUUGUGGUUUUGAAGGCUAAUGGGAAGUCCUUCAACAGGGGUAGCCAUUGGAUCAUAUAUAAUUCUCUCAUCAGGAACAACUAAUUUCCAUCUAAAUUUCCUGACUAUGAUGUGAAGAAAUACGAGCAUCUCUAGCCGAGCGAACUCUUUCCCAAUGCACAUUCGGGGUCCUCCCCCGAAUGCAAUGUAUGAAAAUGGAGCAGGUCCAGCUCCUUCAAAUCUUGAUGGAUCAAAGCUUGUUGCAUUAGGGAAAUACUCUGGAUCCAGACUUGUUAAAGUAGUGUUCCAGUAGAACUGUUACAACAUCAUAUAAGUUGUUACUGUGCUUAAAUUCUAUGUGCUGAUGGGUGCAUAAAUUAUUCACAAUAAUUCACUUUAAAACUAAUAAGGUAAAUUUUUGUAGUUCAGUGACACAAUAAUGAAUUUUUUACUACACUUCAUUGUAUAUAAGCUAAAUUAUUGUACACUAUCAGCAUAAAAUAAAAUUUUACCCUAUCAGUUAGUCUAAAACGGUAAAUACAAGUAACAAUCUACGAUAUGUGAAAUUAUUAAUUUGAAAAAUAAGGUAGGUAACCUCUUACAAUUGAUUAAAUUAGUCCGAUAUAAAGCAAAUUAUAUUGUCUGUUAUAUAAAUUAAAUCCUAAACAUCAAUGGAUUAUCAAAUAAUGUGAUAAAAAUGAUGAAGAACCUACUAGAUAAACUAUACUGAUGAUAUAAGAAAAAAUCUUUACACUAUCUGGUUAAUGGUUUGUGAAUUUAGUUGGACAAGUGUAGGAAUGGCAAUGGGGCUGGGCAAAAGCAGGGCAGAGCAGGGCAAAGGUUAAACGGGGCGGGGUAGGGUAAUGGUUAAACGGGGCAGGGCAGGACAUGGCGGGUCAAAACUGAAAAUUUUGAAAUAUUAAAGAAGGCAGGGCAGGUAGUAGGGCAAGCUUUCUGUAUAAUCUGGUUUAAGCUCGAUGAGUAACACUAAUGGAAAUUUGCGUCUUUUUGUUACAAAACCAAUGCGUACAUCUUAUUCUUAUUGGGAUUUUAUUUUACUGACUAAGUAAUGCAAUGGUACCGUGAAAAUUAAUUUUUUUGGUUCUGAAGAAAAGAAACUGUUUCGAAAAUGUCUUUAAGUAGUUUACCCAUUUACUUGAGUUGAAGCAUUAAUAUAAGGGAAUUUACUCUUUAAUAAACUAUAUAACAUUGAUAAAAAUCACAUUUUAUUCAAUUGAUAUACAUAAACAACUUUCAUUGACGUGUCAACUGCAAUGUCUCAAUAGAGUCGAAAUAGUUUUUUUUAGGACAAAAAAAAUAGCAUAUUGCAAAAUGAAUAACAAAACAAAGAAUUAAAAAAAUACAUAAACGGGGGCGGGGCGGGGCAUGGCAUGAUAGGGCGGGGCAGGGCAAGGCAAAAUUUUGAAAAAAUGCUAAACGGGACACGGCAGGGCGGGUUAAAAUUUUAACGGGUCAAGGCUUGCCCUGCCCCGCCCUACCUUGCCCGCCCUAUUUGACAUCCCUAGACAAGUGUGUGCAUGAAAACAUUAUCGAAAACAGAGUAGAUGAUGUUCGUACCUUCCACCCCUUAGGCAUGUGAUAACCUUCAUAAUUUAUAUCAACAAUUGCUUCUCGAUAAGCUCCUAUUAUAGGCUGUUUCAGUCUCAUAGCUUCACAAAGUACGUUCCACGAAUACUUCAUUUUCUGUAUAUCAUCCCAGUUCAAAGACUCCCCUUCUUUUUUCGCUGAAGCUAUCUUAAUAUGCUCUGCUUUUCAUAAUCCCAAUGAUCAGCAAAUAAAUUAAUAAAUAAAUUGAUAAAAGGGUUAAAGAUAUUCCUCUACUAUAUAUGAAAUAUCUUAGUUUUAACAUUCAUUACUCUUUAAGACUAUGUAUACCUUAGCAAAUUGUUUCGUACUUGCCCUUAUCCCCUAUGUUUACGGAUUCGACCUAACCUAUUAACUUUUGUGCAGACUCUGUAUUUCUUUUGUGGAAUUCAUGGAAUAUGUACAAAUUAUUAUUUUAUAACUCAGUAACUAAAAAGAAUUAGAAUCUCGAACCCAUAAUCUUCAAAUUCUGGCUCCGCCUCUGCUUAUCGUAACUAGACACCCUAACCAAAGUAUAACUAAAGGUAAUUUUAAACCAUAGUGACCUUUUUCAAAAGUAUUUUGACACAUGAACCCGAUCAUUCUACAUUGGAGCUUCGUUAAGUUGACGGAUAAGUACGAGAUAAUUUAUUGGCGGUAAAGUUAUAAAUGACCACAAAGUAUGACAGAUAAUAAAAUUAAGAUAUUUCGUAUACAAAAAAACGUAAAUUAAGAUAUUUCAUAUAGCUAGAUAACAGCUUUCUGAAGUACUGACCUUGCAGAAUGUUUUCAUAAACUUGAGGGUGCUCUCCCAGUCUCUUAAUGAGUAAAGUAAGAGCUACAGUUGAAGUGUCAUGGCCAGCAAAGAGCAGCAACAAUAUGUUAUUAACAAUAACAAGUUCAGACAUGAACUUUCCAUUUUCAUCUGGGAAGGAAAGCAAAUGAGACAAAAUAUCUUGUGAAGGUGAAGCUGUCUUUUGUUCUAAGGCUUCUCUUCUUUUUCGGACUAUUUGCAAUAGUUCUUUUCUGAUAGUAACUACAGCUCUAGUUGCUUUGUGAAAAGUUGUACCAGGUAAAUUUACAGGGAUUGCUAUUAAUCCUUUCAAGAAAAUGUUGAAAAGUGUUGAAAGCUUUUCAAUUUCAUUGUGGUCUUCAAUGCUCAUGAAUAGCUGACAUGCCACUUUGAAAGUGUAUAAUUUGAGGAGAUGGUACACCUUCACC
rnacentral:lncRNA from 1 species